rnacentral:rRNA from 1 species
UAAUGUAUGGGGAUCUGCCCGAUAGAGGGGAUAACUACUGGAAACGGUGGCUAAUACCGCAUAAUGUCUACGGACCAAAGCAGGGGCUCUUCGGACCUUGCACUAUCGGAUGAACCCAUAUGGAUUAGCUAGUAGGUGGGGUAAAGGCUCACCUAGGCGACGAUCUCUAGCUGGUCUGAGAGGAUGAUCAGCCACACUGGGACUGAGACACGGCCCAG